CUGGUCUAAUUUAAUAGCACUCUCAACAACGUCAUGUAAAAUUUGUGAAUUUCAUUGUUGGAAUUCUUAAGUGUUAAAUUUGUGAACUAAAUGUCAGUGUUGCGUUAUUUUAUUUAUCAAUUUUUACUUAAUACUGACACUGAAGUAAUUUUAAGACAAAGAAAAAUUGUCAAAAUAGCGGCCCAAGUAUAGAGAGACGAUGGGCACAUUGGGUAACGCAGCAGUGUUUGAUUCGCACCGUCUCGCAUUUGAGUCUCAGUCACAAGCGGCUCUGUUUCUAAACGAAUUAUCAGUUUAGUGAUUGGGGUAGCAAUCUCUCUGGCCAUAGUCUAAUAAACCAUCUCAAAGUAUACAUAGUUCAGAAACCAUUGUGGUUUCUUAACAAUGAGCCAUAAAAAACUUAUAUAUUAAACCUUGAGCUGUACUACAAUAUAUAAUUUAUAAAUUAUUUUUGAAAAUUUUUCAUUGUUUAAUUAGUAUGUUUAAAAUUAUUUUCACAAAAAGUUAGCAAACAUUACUAUAUUAUAUUUUUUUUUAGCAUUCAUUUAUUAUUUUAUAUUAAGUAUAUAUAGUUAUCAAAAUCGUAUGAUAUUAUUUAAAUUAUCAUUUGAAAUAUUUUAUCUAACGACUGUUAAUUAUCCUGCAAGUGACGUCAAGAAAUUUAACCAUGAUGAAAUCCAUAUUGUGUUCAAUCAUAAUUCUUACAGUUUAUUGUCGUUUUUCCAAUGCGUUUGAUUGGGAUAAAUAUCCCAAUGGAGACAUUUUAAAGUCAGAAUUAAUAUUUUGUUUUCCCAAAAAUGUUAUCUUAGGAGAAAUAAACAAAGGUAAUAUUACUAAGGAACAAUAUCACUUAGCCUUGAAAAUCAGGUCGUAUAAAUUAUUAUAUAUGUUGGUAAUUUUUUCUCAAAAUGCAAUAAAUGAUAAAAAUAUAGAAAAAUACAAAAACUCAAGAAUUAAAAUUGAUAGUAUAAUUAUGGAACCACUAGAAAAUAUGAUUAAAUUCAUGAAAUAUCACCAAAUAAAUGUUUUUAAUUUAGAGUUUAAUAUUCGCGAUAUAAUUUGUUGUCAAAUACAUCCCAUAGAAAAGUCGUAUUCCAUUUCUUAUUUAUUGAACAAUUUUAAAAAUCAUUAUUCUGAUUUAUUAUACAGAUUAAAAACACGUAUUUAUGAUUUAUUAAUUGAUGAUAUAAAAAAAUUCAAUUUUGUAUUAUUAAAAAAACCUAAAACCAUUUUUUUUGAUAGCAUGCUAAAACAAGCAAUUGAUUCGUGGAAAAUGUUUGAUAAUUUUAAGGUUGAUGAAGAAUCAAAAAACUAUAUUCCUCCAAAUUUUUCAAUGGAUUGUAUUCAACCAACGAUUUAUUUUUAUAAUAAAAUAAAUACUGAGUACAUAAUUAUGCCGUCAAAAGAAGUUAAUAAAAAAAUAAAAUGUGCUGUAAUGUAACAUUUUGACAUAUCCUUGAAAAAAAAAACAGAACAACACAGAAAAAAAUAAUCUUACAAUAAUACAAUUAAUAUUUUAAAACAUAAAAUGUAAGUGAAAUAUUUCAUUUGAAAUUUUAAAUGUUAAAAAGUUCUCUCUUAUGUAAUAAACCAAGGAUUUAAUUUUAUUCUUAAAAUAUAUGUAAGUGAAAUUAAUUAAAAUAAUAAUUUAUGUGAAUCUAUUGAACAAU